CAGAGCCUCACACAUGCUAGGCAAGCGCUCUGUCACUGAGCCACCACACCAGCCCCAUCUGGUCUGCUCUUGACAGGAAGGGGCUUGACACAGAGCAAAAGGAGAAACCACUCUUGAAAAAGAAGUAUGCAAAAAAAAAUUAGGGAUAUAAUCUAUCUGCUUGUACCAUCCGUCUGUCCAUUCAUCUGUCUGUCAGGAUAUUUCGUCAUCAUCAGUGGUAAGACUGUGUGAUUUUGAAAUCUAAAUUUAAAGAAAACCCUCAUGUUUUGCUUCUUCAUUUAAAUAUCUCACUUUGUCUCACUUUAUUUCCCAGAAAAGGAGCACAAGUGGCUGGCGGAUGUAUCCUCUAAAGCAAUGAGUUCAGCCUCCUUCGUCACUGUUGGGAUCCCACCCCAGUAUUAUCCUGCAUCCUCUACCACGAGGUUCUCCAAGGUCACAGUGAAGGCCGGGUGGAGGCCCAGGGCAGGGUGCAUCCUGCCUGCUCUUCAGGUCCUUCGUCCCUCUCUUGGAGUCUGGUGCUACCUUCUCAGGCCUAGAGGGGAAGACAUCGUGGAGGACACGCUGGGUCCCACCGUGGAGCCUCGUUCCUGUCUGAUUCUCCGCUGGACCCCGAGCACAUGCACUCCCCCAGCCUCUUGCACCCCCCAGCAAGCUCCCUGCACAGGCCCUGAAAAGAAAUGCUGACCGUUCUGCGUCCAGGGUCAUUGAUCCAAGUUCCCAGACCACGACUGAUCACCUUCCCGGGGCCCAUCGUGUAGGGCACCUGGGGUCAGUCCAGACCUGCUGGGACACACAGGGUCCCCAUGGUGGGGACAGCUGAGCCCCUCGGGUUGUGCAGAUGGAUCCUCACAAGGAGGCUUUGCAGUAAUUGUCAUCGUGUCAUCAAGAGAAAUGAUCACAGAAAUAGAAGUGUGUGGGGUUGAGCCUUGGCUGCUUUUGCACAAGUUUCAUCUGGAGUACACUGUUCGCCCCUCUCUGAGUCCUGGUCUCUCAUUUUAAUAAGGAUCCUGAUAGAGAUUAAAUUAUCAGCUAAUGGGAAA